ACCCAAAAAGCACUGCAUAUUUUGUGAAGCACACUCACCUGCUUUUUCUUUGACUCUGCAUGCAGUGCAGCUUCCAGUGACCCUCCACCUGCUGGGCAAAGAGACAAAUGCGACAAGCUUGCAGAAGGUUUGACCACCUUGGAUGAGUCACUGGACCAGUAACAGCUUGAGCAACUGUCGCAGCAAAAGGUUCCAGUCUCCAGUUAAUCAACACUCGGGAAGCAAAUGGAGCUGUUGGAGUGCGAUGAGGUGAAAUGUGACUCUGAGCCACCUGCUGGUACGAAGUCU